UUGCCUAUAUCUUUGUAAAGCAGAGUUUGGAGAGUUAUGCAGCUAAACAUGCUUUCCUCUUUCCCCACUUUGGGCUUUCCAGGCAAAUCACUGAGCUGAACUAUUCUUGCCACACAAAAAGCUGUGGUCAUAAUUAGUGGAAUAUAAUACAGCCUUAAGGAUCAUUUACAUGCCAUGGAAUCUGCCUUUAGCAGGUAGUAUAUCUGAAUCGAGCAUCUGGAAAUGUAGCUCUAUCAGGAACCAUGUUCUCUAGGGACAAACAGGAAUUAGUGAGCCUAAGGUUUAGAGAGGACUCAAUGAGCUAAGGUAUGGAUUAUUAUUAUCUACUACUAUAAUAUUGGGGGAAAUCUGGAGGUUAAGGGAACGAACUUCAGUCUUCAUCUAUGGAUGGAAGGGGAACAGCCUUCGCUGAAUGAAAUAUUAGGCAAUUUAAUGAGUCAAAACUUAAUUGAAAGGCAAUGUAAGUGUGACACAAAUUGUCAUAAUCUCCCAGAAAUAUUCUAGAAUGUUGUUGUGAGAAGGAAGGUAGAAUUUUCACAGCUGUCCUUGCCAGACGUUCCUUUAAAAUCUUUACCCAAAGGAUCACCAAGCCUGUUUUUUGUUUUGCAUUGUUUUCCUUCCGCACAAAGUUUGAAUGAUUGCAUGUCUGAGAUUAUUAAGGCAUACCAGCAGAUGUGUUUGACAAAGCUAUUUAUCUCUCACUGCUCUCACAGGAGCACAAUAAAGUUAUCGCUGAAAUUUCAAACAAAAUAAAUACUAUCUUUCAGGCUUCAAUAAACAAAUCGCAUAAAAUACCAAAAUCUGUCUCUGAAAAGUAAAAAGUGGAAGAGAAGGGAAGCCAUUUAAGAAGAGCACUUUCUACCCUAUGAUAUCUUUGAAGGUUCAUUCCAAGUUUCAGGAGACACCACAGUGAAGAGUAAUUGUAAUAUACCUGGGGUACACAUGGGAACCCAGCAGGCAUUAUCAGAUACUACAAAGGAUAUUCUGUUCGUGGUUACUGAAAGCUACAUGGCACAGGAACCAUUUUUUGUAUGGAGUUCAUCACAGCAAUAUCAUUACAAGAUGAAGCUAUAUCAUCAUUAUAAAUCAACUACCUCAAAGUGAAGUAUCUACGUAUCAUGCCAUUAUGAAUUGCCAUCAUGAGAUGAAGAAUUAAUCUACAUGCUGCUUUCUCUUGAUGUGUAAUGAAGAUGAAAUUUCUAUAUGAUUAUUUGGUUAUAUCAUAAUUAAAUACUUCUUAGACUGUAUGUAUCUGUGUUAUAAAAACCUGUAAAUAACUGCAAUACAUAAUACAUAUUUCUCUAACAUGUUUAACCUUAGCUGUCA